rnacentral:rRNA from 1 species
GUACACUCCUGCGGGAGGCAGCAGUGAGGAAUAUUGGACAAUGGGUGGAAGCCUGAUCCAGCCAUCCCGCGUGCAGGAAGACGGCCCUAUGGGUUGUAAACUGCUUUUAUCUGGGGAUAAACCUACUUACGUGUAAGUAGCUGAAGGUACCAGAAGAAUAAGCACCGGCUAACUCCGUGCCAGCAGCCGCGGUAAUACGGAGGGUGCAAGCGUUAUCCGGAUUUAUUGGGUUUAAAGGGUCCGUAGGCGGACUGAUAAGUCAGUGGUGAAAUCCGACAGCUUAACUGUCGAACUGCCAUUGAUACUGUUAGUCUUGAGUAAGGUUGAAGUGGCUGGAAUAAGUAGUGUAGCGGUGAAAUGCAUAGAUAUUACUUAGAACACCAAUUGCGAAGGCAGGUCACUAAGUCUUAACUGACGCUGAUGGACGAAAGCGUGGGGAGCGAACAGGAUUAGAAACCCGGGUAGUCCCA